CUUGGCAACCAUAGUGCUGUGGUCCCACCUGACUCCAUACCGAACUCAGAAGUGAAACGCAGUUACGCCGAUGGUAGUGUGGGGAUU
rnacentral:rRNA from 1 species